UUCCUGAUGUUUAGUCAGAAUCCCCUUUCUUGUAACUUGAAGCCAUUGUUUGAGUCCUACCCUCCGGAGCAGGAGAAAACAAGCUUGCUCUAUUUUCCAUGUGUCAGCCCUUUAGAUAUUUGAAGAUGGUUAUCAUAUCUCCUCUAAGUCUCCUCUUCUUCAGGCUAAACAUACCCAGCUCCUUCAACC